rnacentral:lncRNA from 1 species
CGCGUCGCCGGCGAUAAUACGUGGAAUUUUUUAUCAGUUUUUAGCUUCGGUUUUUGUUUAUUUUCGUUCUUAGUAUUAAUUACCUGAUGAUGGCUUCCACAGAAGCCGAAAUGGCCAUCGUUUAAGUUUAAGUAGUGACAACCGAAAAAAUUCAUCGGGCGAAAAAGGAAGAAAGUAAGUCAAAAUUAGGAACCAUUAUUUUUCCGAAUUAUUGCAGAUUUUUCCUCAGUUAUGAUAUGAAAGAUGCUUUGAUUACUGUUACAGUUUUACCUACAGUCAAGAUGCCUCCUUCUAGAAUAUUGCACCAGGGUUGAAAAUUUAACUAGGACCAUGAACUUUACUGAACAUGGCCCAAAAUUCCAAAAACAACUUUUAAAGAUUUACUUUGCUAAGCGGAUACCUUUGACAAAAGGUGGGGGAUCCGGGAUCUCAAAUGAACUUCCUGAAAAUUGUAAUCAAGAUUCACUUCCUUUGACUUUCUAAUUCCAGGACUUUCUCGGAGUUCAAAGAGAGAAUUCAAGAUGGAUUUUACAAAGAUAAAGGAUUUUUUGGGUUCAGGGAUCUCGUUGGCCCGAGGGUGAGUUGAAAAUUAAAUUCAUUGUAACUAAACUUACUAUAAUUUUUUAUGUCACUAUACACCCACUAGAAGUGAUGAACUGCGUGUGCACUGCACACUUGAAAUAAUUGUUCAAGCAUAAGUAUUACAGUAAAGCCUAAAGUGUAUUAUGUUCUGUUCUUUCCCUCCUGAAAUGUGAGCUGCGACUACUACAUCACAAACACACCACUUAAAAAAUUAUUUCUCUUUCAGUUUCCUUUUUUCCCUCAAUAGCUAUCCCUUUGUAUAUUUUAAUUCACAGUAACAUGAUUAAUAUAAUAAGAAAACUGAACUUUGAGAAUUACACUGCAAACACAAAAAGCAAACCAGAACACGUAUAGAAUAUGGUCUUUAAAAAUUCCCCUAGUCAAAUUGUUUUCCAAUAGGAAAAUGUUUUAAAACUAAUGAAUAGUUUACAUAUUUUUCAGCUCGAACUUGAUUUUGUGCUACCAUUUGUGAAGUUACCAAUUUUUGGCGUGGGGCCACUCAUAGAGUUGGAUGCCCAGUCCAUCACUGCUGCCUUUACUGCCAUAGUCUUUCUGUACAUUGUUCCGAAGCUCCUCUUUCUACUGUAUCCCAACUACCAGCUUCCUCCAGCGCCUGCAGCGGGACCCGAUAGAGGGGAAAGAUCGUUCGACAUGCCAUUCGAUCUCCACUCGGUUGAAGAAUUCUUGAGAACUUACGUGAUGCCGGUGGAUUCUUGCUCCUCGGCCAAUUCGUCUUACAUGAACAUGAAUAUAACCUCAAUCAAUCCAAACAAAAAAUCUGUGAAAUUUUAUCCUUUGAAUAAAACCGAUUAUGAUGAGCAGUG